AAUGCAUGACUAGAAAAUUGCCAUCUAGGCAUAUAAAGAACACGAGACACGAUGCGACUCGGACAUGAUGAUUUGACAAUUUUUAAAAAAUUAGAACACAGAUACGACAUGAACAUGCAACGAUAAUAAAAUAUAAUAUUAGUAAUAUAAUAUAUAUAUACUUAUUAUAUAUAAAAUAUUAAUUUUGAUAAAAUAUUGUUAUAUUUUUCAUACGAAUUGAAAUUCAUAAAAUUUUCAUUAGCACUUCAUAAAUUUUAAGAAAAUAAAUUCUCCACCAUAAAUUUUCAUUGGCACUUCAUAUAUUCAUCAAAAAGCUAAAAUAU
rnacentral:lncRNA from 1 species